GUCAAAAUAAAGGUGAAAAUACAAAAAAUUAGAACGUAUUGACGUUUCUCUCGCUAAAGAUCGGAAACGGAUCGUGCUAACAAGCCAUUAAAAAAUUUCUAAUCCUGUAAAACCCAGGUAAAACCCCGGACCCAAACAUUCCCCCUUCCUCUCUCUCCUUUCUCUGUAUAGUUUUUACUCCGCGCGCGUGGUUGUGGUGCGGCGGAGAUGGAGUACGUGAGCCCCGAAGGUCUUCGCCUCGAUGGUCGCCGCCCAACGGAGAUGAGGCAGCUUCGAGCAGAAGUAGGCGUAGUAGCGAAAGCUGAUGGUUCCGCCUCUUUUGAAAUGGGUAACACCAAAGUCAUUGCUGCAGUCUAUGGUCCUCGAGAGGUAGGUAUCCCUCUUCAUAUGCUGUUUCAUAAUAUUUAAGAUUAUAUAUUGUGGAUUACAUUGCAUAGCGUUUACUUCACUAUGGAGAACGUGCUCGCGUUGAUAUUUGUUUCCAUGGAAGAGUGAUAAUAAAUUGGAUUCACUUAAAAGGUCUCAGCUUACUCAACCGUUUCUGU